GAAUUUUCCGCAAUGGGCGAAAGCCUGACGGAGCAAUACCGCGUGAAGGACGACGGCCUAUGGGUUGUAAACUUCUUUUCUCAGAGAAGAAUUUUGACGGUAUCUGAGGAAUAAGCAUCGGCUAACACUGUGCCAGCAGCCGCGGCAAGACAGUGGAUGCAAGCGUUAUCCGGAAUGAUUGGGCGUAAAGCGUCUGUAGGUGGUUUAUCAAGUCUUUUGUCAAAGAUCAGGGCUUAACCCUGGGCCGGCAGGAGAAACUAGUAGACUUGAGUUCGGUAGGGGCAGAGGGAAUUCCCGGUGGAGCGGUGAAAUGCGUAGAGAUCGGGAGGAACACCAAAGGCGAAAGCACUCUGCUGGGCCGAGACUGACACUGAGAGACGAAAGCGAGGGUAGCAAAUGGGAUUAGAUACCCCAGUAGUC
rnacentral:rRNA from 1 species